GCGAACGGGUGAGUAACACGUGGGUGAUCUGCCCUGCACUUUGGGAUAAGCCUGGGAAACUGGGUCUAAUACCGAAUAUGACUGCGCUCUUCAUGGGGUGUGGUGGAAAGCUUUUGCGGUGUGGGAUGGGCCCGCGGCCUAUCAGCUUGUUGGUGGGGUAAUGGCCUACCAAGGCGACGACGGGUAGCCGGCCUGAGAGGGUGACCGGCCACACUGGGACUGAGAUACGGCCCAGACUCCUACGGGAGGCAGCAGUGGGGAAUAUUGCACAAUGGGCGCAAGCCUGAUGCAGCGACGCCGCGUGAGGGAUGACGGCCUUCGGGUUGUAAACCUCUUUCAGCAGGGACGAAGCGCAAGUGACGGUACCUGUAGAAGAAGGACCGGCCAACUACGUGCCAGCAGCCGCGGUAAUACGUAGGGUCCGAGCGUUGUCCGGAAUUACUGGGCGUAAAGAGCUCGUAGGUGGUUUGUCGCGUUGUUCGUGAAAACUCACAGCUUAACUGUGGGCGUGCGGGCGAUACGGGCAGACUAGAGUACUGCAGGGGAGACUGGAAUUCCUGGUGUAGCGGUGGAAUGCGCAGAUAUCAGGAGGAACACCGGUGGCGAAGGCGGGUCUCUGGGCAGUAACUGACGCUGAGGAG
rnacentral:rRNA from 1 species